rnacentral:lncRNA from 1 species
UAGGAAUAAAUGGAAAAAAAGGGGUUGAUAUUGGUACAAUCUGAUCCAUUAUCAUAGAGCAAUCCUGACCCCGAUGGAUCAUUCCUUUUUCCGAUAUACGAAAUAGGGGAUUUCACUAAGUUAAUUCUUAGGAAAUGUCGAAUCAAACCAUUUGUCCUUAUUUCAACAAAAGAAGCACGGGCUUCUUCGCAAGAAGAACUUUUUUUGUAAUAGGGGAUUUCACUAAGUUAAUUCUUAGGAAAUGUCGAAUCAAACCAUUUGUCUUUCAACAAAAGAAGCACAGGCUUCUUCGCAAGAAGAAAUUUUUUUGUCUUGGUUACAAUUUAAUACUAAACAAGUCCGAACUAAUUGAAUACUUGUUUCAGAAAU